UACGUAGGCAGCGAGCGUUGUUCGGAGUUACUGGGCGUAAAGGGUGUGUAGGCGGUUCUUUAAGUUUGGUGUGAAAUCUCCCGGCUCAACCGGGAGGGUGCGCCGAAUACUGAGGGACUAGAGUGCGGGAGAGGAAAGUGGAAUUCCUGGUGUAGCGGUGAAAUGCGUAGAUAUCAGGAGGAACACCGGCGGUGUAGACGGCUUUCUGGACCGUAACUGACGCUGAGACACGAAAGCGUGGGUAGCAAACAGG
rnacentral:rRNA from 1 species